rnacentral:rRNA from 1 species
AUGAACGCUAGCUACAGGCUUAACACAUGCAAGUCGAGGGGCAGCAUUUUAGUUUGCUUGCAAACUGAAGAUGGCGACCGGCGCACGGGUGAGUAACACGUAUCCAACCUGCCGAUAACUCCGGAAUAGCCUUUCGAAAGAAAGAUUAAUACCGGAUAGUAUACGAAUAUCGCAUGAUAUUUUUAUUAAAGAAUUUCGGUUAUCGAUGGGGAUGCGUUCCAUUAGUUUGUUGGCGGGGUAACGGCCCACCAAGACUACGAUGGAUAGGGGUUCUGAGAGGAAGGUCCCCCACAUUGGAACUGAGACACGGUCCAAACUCCUACGGGAGGCAGCAGUGAGGAAUAUUGGUCAAUGGGCGAGAGCCUGAACCAGCCAAGUAGCGUGAAGGAUGAAGGCUCUAUGGGUCGUAAACUUCUUUUAUAUGGGAAUAAAGUUUUCCACGUGUGGAAUUUUGUAUGUACCAUAUGAAUAAGGAUCGGCUAACUCCGUGCCAGCAGCCGCGGUAAUACGGAGGAUCCGAGCGUUAUCCGGAUUUAUUGGGUUUAAAGGGAGCGUAGGUGGAUUGUUAAGUCAGUUGUGAAAGUUUGCGGCUCAACCGUAAAAUUGCAGUUGAAACUGGCAGUCUUGAGUACAGUAGAGGUGGGCGGAAUUCGUGGUGUAGCGGUGAAAUGCUUAGAUAUCACGAAGAACUCCGAUUGCGAAGGCAGCUCACUAGACUGUCACUGACACUGAUGCUCGAAAGUGUGGGUAUCAAACAGGAUUAGAUACCCUGGUAGUCCACACAGUAAACGAUGAAUACUCGCUGUUUGCGAUAUACAGUAAGCGGCCAAGCGAAAGCAAUAAGUAUUCCACCUGGGGAGUACGCCGGCAACGGUGAAACUCAAAGGAAUUGACGGGGGCCCGCACAAGCGGAGGAACAUGUGGUUUAAUUCGAUGAUACGCGAGGAACCUUACACGGGCUUAAAUUGCAACAGAAUAUAUUGGAAACAGUAUAGCCGUAAGGCUGUUGUGAAGGUGCUGCAUGGUUGUCGUCAGCUCGUGCCGUGAGGUGUCGGCUUAAGUGCCAUAACGAGCGCAACCCUUAUCUUUAGUUACUAACAGGUGAUGCUGAGGACUCUAGAGAGACUGCCGUCGUAAGAUGUGAGGAAGGUGGGGAUGACGUCAAAUCAGCACGGCCCUUACGUCCGGGGCUACACACGUGUUACAAUGGGGGGUACAGAAGGCGGCUACCUGGUGACAGGAUGCUAAUCCCAAAAACCUCUCUCAGUUCGGAUCGAAGUCUGCAACCCGACUUCGUGAAGCUGGAUUCGCUAGUAAUCGCGCAUCAGCCACGGCGCGGUGAAUACGUUCCCGGGCCUUGUACACACCGCCCGUCAAGCCAUGAAAGCCGGGGGUACCUGAAGUACGUAACCGCAAGGAGCGUCCUAGGGUAAAACUGGUAAUUGGGGCU